UCCCUUGAUAGCAACACUUAUAGAUUUUUAGUAGUUAAUUCUGAAAUCAGUGGAAUCUCAAAUAAUACUAUCAUUGAAUCUAAAGAUGCAACUUUCUUUGAAAAUAUUUUCUCUUUCAAAACUUGAAUUUCUAGUCAAAUAUCUGAUUUUACAUCAAUAUUUUCUACUUUUGCCUCUUCAUCAAAUCAUCCUUCUACUUCUCAACUUGAUCAUAACCUUAUAGAACAUAAUCUUCCACUUGAACUU
rnacentral:lncRNA from 1 species